GUCAUCGCGGAGGAGGGCCCGGAAGGAGGCAGCACGGGCGGUCGGGGCCCGGGGCCCGGGGGAGGGCGCCACCUCCCCGUCGGGAACGAUGACCCUCUAGGGGGCAUGGAACUCGCGGGGGGGGAGUGGCCUCGCCCUUGAGGACGAAAGGCUCCUUCAAAAGGCGGGCGAGGGGCCGGGGGCGGUGGCUCACACCUGUCAUCCCAGCACUUGCGGAGGCCGAGGUGACUGGAACUGAUUUGACAUAACCAUCGUAUGCAUGGAGAAGCUGAGAACAGUAAUCUGCAGAAGCAAAAGUAUGAAACAGCCGGGCAAAGAUGCACAGAGGCUUUACCUUCCUCUGAUAAUUGGCAAAAGGUUCUGAAGCUCCCAGGCCAUCUGGAGUCCUUGUAAACUAGCAUACCUACAGCUGUACAAGCCAUAUUUUGAUAGCCCCCUGUAGCUAAUGGCUACCAUAUUGAACAGCAAAGAUAUACGGUACUUACCCAGCAGUAUAGAAAGCUCAACCGGACAGUGCUACAACAGUUGCAGGUAAGCAAGCAAGGUAAGGAUAGUCCCAAUCAGAUAGAUGGCAUCUAUUUUGUGUGAAGCCUUGUGAGGUGGCUCACACCUGUAGUCCCAGCUACUUGG